GCCGGGCGAGGUGGCACAUGCCUGUAAUCCCAGCUGCUCGGGAGGCUGAGACAGGAGGAUCAGAGUUCAAAGCCAGCCCAGCAAAAGCAGGGCAAUAAGCAACUCAGUGAGACCUUGUCUCUA
rnacentral:sRNA from 1 species